AGAUGCUCAGCUCGGUCCCCUCCGCCUGACGCUCCUCUCUGUCUCAGCCAGGACUGGUUUCUGUAAGAAAUAGCAGGAGCUGUGGCAGCGGCGAAAGGAAGCGGCUGAGGCGCUUGGAACCCGAAAAGUCUCGGCGCUCCUGGCUACCUCGCACAGCGGUGCCCGCCCGGCCGUCAGUACCAUGGACAGCAGCGCUGUCCCCGCGAACGCCAGCAAUUGCACUGAUGAUGCCUUGGCGUACUCAAGUUGCUCCCCAGCACCCAGCCCCGGUUCCUGGGUCAACUUGUCCCACUUAGAUGGCAACCUGUCCGACCCAUGCGGUCCGAACCGCACCGACCUGGGCGGGAGAGACAGCCUGUGCCCUCCGACCGGCAGUCCCUCCAUGAUCACGGCCAUCACGAUCAUGGCCCUCUACUCCAUCGUGUGCGUGGUGGGGCUCUUCGGAAACUUCCUGGUCAUGUAUGUGAUUGUCAGAUACAAAUUUAGAAAGGAAGAACAGCAAGGAAGAGAAACCUUGCCCUGGCUCAGGGCCCCAAGUGUCAGUUGUGGCUCGACUUCAAGGCACUCUGCGCCUCACUCUCCUUAUCUGUAAAAAGCCAGGCUGCACAAGCAGAAGCAGUGAACAGUCUACCAGGGAAUAUUAACUUCAAGGAUCAUCUCAAAGCCAAUAAUCAUCACACUGUUGAAGAGUGACUGCACCAGGAAAGAGACAGGGCAGCAGUGGGAACACAGCAAACAGAAGAAUUUACACUUGAGGAAACAGAAUAAAAAAGCAAUCACACAAGGACUUUAAAAUAAGUCAUAUCAGGCAUGGUGGCUCAUGCCUGUAAUCCCAGCACUUUGGGAGGCCAAGGCAUGCGGGUCACUUAAGGCCAGGAGUUCAAGACCAGCCUGGCCAGCAUGGCAAAAACCGGUCUCUAUUAAAAAUACAAAAAUUAGCCAGUGUGGUAGUGAUCCCAGCUACUCGGGAGGCUGAGGCAGCAGAAUCAUUUGAACCUGGGAGGUGGAGGUUGCAAUGAGCCAAGACUGUCCCACUGCACUCCAGCCUGGCCAACAGAGCAAGACCCUGUCUCAGAAAAACGAAUGAUAAUAAGUCAUAUUUCACAUCUUCAGAUAGAUAAAAGAGAGAAUUUUUUCUAUGAAAUAGGAGGAAGCAAUUCAAAAAUAAUAAGAGGUGGUUAUUAACAAGCAAAGCAUAGCAACCAAAUUCCCAGACAACCUGGGUUUCAAUCCUGGCUCCGACAACAAUCACUAGUUGGAUGUCUCCAGGGCAAAUUACUUAACCAAUCUGUGUCUUCAUUUUUUCAUCUGUAAAAUGAAGAUAGUCAUAGUAUAUACCUUAUAUAUGUGGUAUGAGGAUUAAAUAAUUUAGCAUUAGUAAAGCACUCUGAACAGUAUCUGACACAUAAGUGUUUGUUAAAUAAACGAACAAAUUGGAAAUUCUAGAAAUAACAACUUUAAUUUUUGGCGUUCAGGAUUUUAUGGGUGAGCCGAAAAGCAGAAAGAGAGAAGGCGAAGAGCAUGUUAAUGAGCUGGAAGA
rnacentral:sRNA from 1 species